CUGACAUAUUGAUUAUUUGAAAAGAAAUUUAGAACUCAUAUCUAACAGUAGGACUCCAGGUGUAAAAUAAUCCAUGAGAACACAUGAAUAUUUGAUGAUUUUAUUUCUCACUGUGUUCCAGAAAGGAUGUGAGGGGGCUUAAAUGUUUUACUGACAUGAAAACACCCAGUAAAGUAGUAUAUGCACAACUAAAAAAUCAACGAAAUUCUAUUAUACAUUAAAUUAAUAAUAAUGGAUACUAUGCAUUUGAAUAUCCACUUUCCUGUGGCAGGAUGGUUUGUAAAAUAUGAAGUCUUUUUUGCUAGCUCAUGCAUUGAAAAUCCAACGUUCUUGGCUUACAUAUUCAAAAGGAAAGGCCCAAUUGUGAUGUGGAAAGGAGAACAGAUGGGUGGAGUGGAUAUUGUUGCAGCACUCACUGGUAUCCCCUCUUCUGGACAGAGGCACCCAUUUCCCAGCAACUGCGAACAGCAGGUAUCUCUCAGCUGGGUCUGUCAUCAGAAACUGCCCUCAGCCACGGGGAACUGAUUAGGCAUCAACCCCUUCCGCAAGAUAAGGGAGUCAAGUUUGAAGCCCAUGGAAGAUAUGAUGCAGCCUUGCUGGCUUGAAAAUGGAGGGGUUCAUGUGUAAGGAUGUGGGUGACCUCCCAGUUGAAGGCCAGCAAGGAAACCAGGACUACAGUCUCACAACCAAAAAGAAUUGGAUUCUGCCAACAACAGGAAUGAGCUUGGAAGUGGAUUUUCCCCCAGAGCCUCCAGAGGACUUUGCUCCCUUGAGCAGUGAAGCCAGCCAUGCUGUGCAGAAUUUCUGACCUACAGAACUCUGUGCUAACAAAUGAGUGUUGUUUUAGUCUGCUAAGUUUGUGGCAGUUUGUUACACAGUAAUCAAAAAUUAAUGCAGAGGGGGAAAAUGAAAUAGAAGGAGCUCAGAUAAGCUCCUCCCCACCACCACAAGCUGCAUUUAAGUGGAUCACACCAGCUCCAGGAGGAAAUCAGGGAAGACGACUCAUGUGCAUUUCUCCUCGUGCCUGGAUCUUCAUUGGAACAUGGAUUAAAAGACUCAAAGGGAAACAUCUACCAAUUACAACACAUGAAGCUUCAUAUAAGUUUUUGGAUCCUGAUCCAAAAAACCAUCAGGAAAACAAAUUAUGAGUGUUCCCAAAAGUUGCUGCCCACAGGAUGGGGAAAUUCCAGCCAUCGCCUACAUUUGAUUUAGAGAUCUUGGAUUUUGAUACCCUAGAGAUGAAGAUGUGCAUAAGUCACAGCUGCUAAAAGAUGGGUCUAAGAGAAUACAACGUGGCAAAUAGGAUCUUGCUGCCUGGAUAAUAAGAGAUGUUCCUGAGUGAAGCUGUGUGGAGGGACUGGAGCCUUACCAUGGAAGUGACCUAGGGAGUAGGUCCAGGGAUGCGCUAUCUUCCAAUGGUACCCAUUAAUAAGGAGAACAUAGUCAUCUUUGCUAACCAUAAAGCUUAUUUUCUAGAAUAAGGCAUCCUUACUGGGAUUUCCAAGAGCCAUGAUCCUGGAACCACACUGGGAUGACCCCUUCCCAAUGCAGCACGGCACAGGCUGUAUCUAUCCAGAUGCUUCCUCCAGGUCCUCAUCCUUGGAGUGGUCCAGCUUAAAGUGCUCUGUGAGGAUAAUUUGCAGAGUGGCUACAGACUUUGGGAGAAGGAUGACUGUCUACAGACAGUUCUAUUACAGUAAUAAUCAAGAAAACUACUUUAUGGGAUGACUGCAAGGGGUUGUGUCCCUAGGACUAGGAAGGACGAAGAACCUGGCAUAGGACAGAACCGUCUGUCAGAGGGCCCUGUGACAAGGUUUUUCCUUCUACUGUGCCCUGUUCUGAGUGACCAGAGAACUACCAAGGAAUAUUCCCAGAGUCUGUACCUGGCAGAGCUGAUGGUGCAAUUCGCUGCAGACUUGCACAGGCUGUAACUCUUCCACCUCUAAUGGACCAGACGCCAUUAGCAUCAUCGAUCUCUGGCCAGGAUGCAGACUGAACCCCUCUCUGGCUGAUUUAUGAGAAAGGUACUCAGACAAGAGCAUCGACAGACUGGCUCCUGGGGUGUGGUCCAGGCUGUGGCUGGAAUCCUUUCAACACCAGCCUUUCAUCAGGAGCAAAGACCUCAGAAGUGAAGAAGAAGAAAAAAGCAGAGAAGUCGAGGCCGACAAUUUGUCAUCAGUUGGCAGUCUAAGGCAGCAUAGGUAGAAAAAGCAGCCUGGAGGUUUAGGAGCACAAAGCUGGUAGAAUGAGGACCAUCAGGAGAGCAAAGGUUUAGGUGAGCAGCUCAUCUGGAGAAGUCAGGGUCAAGAGUAAAAGCUUAAAGGCAUCUGGUGGCCUCUGCCUUCCCACUCCUUGCAGAUGGAACUUGCCUGUCAUUUUCAGAUCCAGCCCUGCAGAGUUCCUGCAUCAGUCCUCACUGACAAGACAGUAUUUCAGCAGCAAUCUCAGCCCCUGACCCAGGGGAUUUAGAAUUAAGUCAGUGAUCUGGGAUACAGAGGCCUGGUCACAGUGGCAGGCUCCCUCGUCUCUCUCGGGUAUGAUUCUCUUUUGCUGCUCUGCUGGCCCGAGCCCCAGAAGAGGUACGCUGUGUGCUUCCAGAUUGGCCUUGUACAUGACUUUGUGCCUUCUUUCUAUCUUCUGUCUGAUUAUGUUACCCAAGGCCUCUGAAUCGUACCCUGUGGGGGUUUGUAACCUGCUGCCUCCCAUCAGCCGCCCAUCUCCAGGCAUUCAUGGAUCCCUGUGGGGCCCUGUGGUGGUAAGAGGUGUGUGCUGACUGUUACCCCCCUGCCUGACUGGCAGCUGGAUUGCAGCCUGCAAGACCCUGAGCUGAGGACCCAGCCUGCUGUGACCAGGCCUCUAUAUCCCAGAUCACUGACUUAAUUCUAAACCCCCCAGGUCAGAGACUGAGAUUGUUGCUAAAAUGCUGUCUGCUCAGCAAGGACUGACGUGGGAACUCUGCCCCGGGCUGGAUCUGAAGGUGACAGGCGAGCCCCACCUUCCAUAGACUCCAGACCCAUGGACGCUGUGCGAUCAUAAACACAGGUUGUUUUAAGCUGGUAAAUAUCUGAUAAUUUGUUACCCAGCAAUAGAAAAAGAACCACCAUGUUUGAGCUUUCUGCUGCCUCCUCUGGCCAGGCUGUCUUGUUUGUGUGUGACCUGGUCCCCCCAGUGUCAUGUUCUAUCCUUCCAGGGCAGAGUGUCCUUCCAGCAGCUGCUCUGGAGUCCGGCUGGCGGGACUUGCGCACCUCAGUGGGUGAGCUCCGCUUCAGACGGAGGACCCUGCUUCCCAGGCUGCCUUCCCCUCUGUUUGGGCUGAGAUGAGACCCAGAGCAUGACAAUGUCCUCAGAGGAAUGUAGCAACUCAGCCCCUGGUGGUUUCAGGAACACAAUGAGAAAUGAUGUUUAGAUCUCUGAGCCUCCCGCCGGUAUUGCUCUUGCCACCCAAGUUCUGAACGAAUUGAGAAAAGACAAAGGAGUUGGCAGACAGAGACCAACCUAGCACCUUUCCUACCGAUGAGGAUGGUAUGUGAGGAGGAGGGUUAGAUCUACAGGCAUGGGGGCUUCUGAUCACAACAGCCCAGCAACCAGGCAGGCCCAGGCCGAGGCAGCAGGCACGGGGAAUGUGGAGCAGAAGGUGGGCUUCCUGCAGUGGGAUUGCUCCCAAGCAGAUGCAGACAGCAAGGGGCUGGGUACACGAGGCUCUCCCUCACGGCAGAGGCCACUCCACUUUUGCUGAGCAGAAGUGAGGAAGACCAGAGGCCAGAAUGGCCUGGUUGUUAAGAUUGUUUCUGCAUGGAAGAAAAUACCAGGAGCAAAGAGGCAUCUCCCCGACUGCCACUAUUGGUAAAGGGGAGAAGCCUCAGACACACGAAGUCCUCUCUGGCUAACCUUGCAAAGCUGGGACAAACCAUCCCACCCGCAGCUCAGCUGACAGGCUGGGCAUCUUCAAUUCCAACGGAAGCGGAGGCAAAGCCAAAAUGGCCACAAAACACACCAGUAGAUACACUUGCUGAGCACAUAGUUCUUAACCUAAUUGAGCUGUUUGGUCAGAGAUUUCCUGGUGAGGGGAAUGUCUAUUAGUUACACAGUACCAAUUCUUAAAAAAAAAAUUGUGGUAAUACAUAUGUUAUUUUAUAUGACAUAAAAUUUAGUGUUUAGCUAUUUUAAGUGUGCAGUUUAGUGACAAUAAAUACAUUCACAUUCUUGUGCAAACAUCACCACUAUUCAUCUCCAGAACUUCUUCAUCUUCCCAAAGUAAAACUGUAUCCAUUAAACACCAACUCUGUGUUCCUUCCUCUAGCCCCUGAUUAUCACCAAUCUACUUUCUGUCUCUCGGAAUUUAACUACUCAUAUGUCUGAGUCAGUUCAGGCUGCUAUAUAACAAAAAUACUAUAGAUUAGGUAACUUAAACAACAAAUACUUAUUUUUCACAGUUCAGGAUCUGCCCCCGCCUGCAUUCAUAGGUACCAAAUACAGAGUAGACUUUCACAGGAUUCAGGUUGUCUGGCCAGUACAUGUGGUAAAAAUUGCACACUGUUAGUAUUGCUCCCUUGAGCUGAGCAUCGGAUGCAGUGUUUGAAUUGCGUUUAGAGGCCAUUUUAUAUGAAAAAUUUGAAUCUGUAUCAACAAAAUCACCUUCAGGAUGGCAAGAUGCUCACCAGGUGAACUGCCCCAGAUGCUGAGACUGUCCUCGAAGAUAGCAGAGCCCUAGCUCCACUCCCUGCUCAUGCCAAGGCACAGGCCCACUGGGUGCAGGAGGUGGGUGGCACGUGCUGUGACAUGGUCUUUUCUCACUCUCUGCAGGUCAUAAUGGGUUUAAUUUGCAUAUUCACUCUUAAAGGGCAUAUAAUGUGGCUCCACUCUCAGCCACAGGCAGCUGGUGGCAGCUGGUUUUCCUGCUGGUCCCAGAGUCUAUCACUGCCUUGCUCCUCUUUGGUCCCAUUGGCUGGUAGCACCUUUGCUUUCUGAUCUCAGUGUGGCUUUUGGCCUUGGUUCCCCUCCUGGAUUAACAGCUCCCAGUGAUUUGGCUUCUGGAUUGUCGGGGCUGUUUAGCCCUUACGUUGUGGUCUUUUGUGGCGUGGUUUGCUCUGGGGUUAACUUUUCAGCUUGGACUCGUGGACUUUGGGGUUCAAGUUCAAAAUGAAGUGCCUUGUCCCCACCUCAGAGUGUUCCAGGCCACCUCUUAGCAGGGGCCCUCUCCAUCGGAGGGCCAGGUCAGACACUGGAAAGUUCUCAUUCUUCUGGAAUCUGCUUACUAGUUUGGUCCUGGUUAUUGCUUUGAAUUUCAGGUCUGCGGCUGGGUUGCUCUUUCUCUGGGAUAUCCUGGUUCUACUCGAGUGAGGAAGGAAGUUUUCCACAUCACUUCGGAAAUAUCUUCUGGGAUCUAGGUUGUUGUGUGUACUCUGAUGGAGUGUUGGAGCAGUGCAUGAGGUUCAUUUCCUGAACAUCUCUGUGCGCUAUUGUUAUGCUCCAUGCUUUCCCUGCCCAAUGGAGGAUGGCUCAUCAUCACAACUCCAGGAGCGUGGCGUUAAUAUCUCCCCACUGUGCUCAGUGGAAACAGAUCCAGAUAGCUCAAGCAACUUGCCCAGGGGCUCACAGCUGGUGACCAGCAAAUCCUGUUCUGCCUGAUUCCAAAAUUCAUACCUUAACACUCUACCACACAGUGCCCAGCAAAAUCCUAAAAGUGGGUAAAUCUUAUCUUAGUUUCUGUCAGCAUCUUUCAUCCCUCUACACUCCAUCCAUGAAGCCACAGCUCAAUACGGUACCACAUGUUGUCCCAGGCUCUUGGGCAGAACCCUAUAGUUUAUUCCUUAAUUUCUUCCCUCAUUCUCAAAUAAUUUGCCCUAAGGUCAUCUCAGCAGGCUUGGCACUGGGCUGAGUAAUUUAUAGGGAAAAAUGACUGCAAUGUUAGUAGGAAUCUGUGUUUCCAUACUCUUUCCUUCUGUUAAAAUGUUUGCACUUUAACGAAACUCUAGCUCAGAGGACCAAUGGUAGGAAUUUGAAAUGUGUCGUAACCCUGGAAUGGCAAAUACUUUUGGAUAGGUGUUGCAGCCUGAACUGUGUUCCCCCAAAAUGUGUAUGUUGAGGUCCUAAUUCGCAGUACCUCAAAAUGUGGCUAUAUUUGUAUUUAAAGAGGUAAUUAAGUUAAAACAAUUAAAGCACUAAUCCACUAUGACUGGUGUCCUAUAAGAGAAUAUUACAACACAAUUUGCACAGAAGGAAGAUGAUAUGAAGACAUAGGGGGAAAAAUGGCCAUUGCUAAGCCAACUCCAAAAAUGGCCAUCUCCAAGCUUAGGUAGGGAGAGGUGUCAGAAGAAACCAACGCUGCUGACAGGGUUGAUCUUGGACUUCCCAACUUCCAGGACUGUGAAAAUAUAAGUUUCUGUUGUUUAAGCCAAGUCUGCAGUCCUUUGUUACGACAGCCCUAGCAAACUAAUACAAUAGGUCUUGUCAGUAUACCGCAAAUAUCAAGUCAUGCAGCAGAGGCUAAUGCAUAUGGGCGGGAACCGCAAGCUCCAGCGACCCCUUGGCGGGGAGGGGAAAGGUACUAGCUCCUUCUUGGCUUCCCACCACUAAGUGCUGUAAGGAGCCGAGAAGAGCUUUGUGGUCAGCACAUCUAAGCACUUUGAUGGGAUAUAUGAGAUCAGAGACAUCGUAAUCACCUUCCAGGAGCCAGACAGAAAGGCAGGGUGAUGGAGUGGUAGGAACAGCUUGGAGCCAGGCCUGUGUAAAUCCAGGAUCUGCCAUUUGUGCUACACAACCAGGAACAGGUCAGCACCCUCUCUGGGCUGUGGUUUCCUAAGACAGGAAUAACAAUGCUGACCUCAUAGGGCUGCAAGGGUUAUGUGGGCGUUCCACAUUAUUAGGAACACAUGUCCUUCAGGAGCAAUCAGGAAAUGAAAUCCCAUAAAGUACAAAAUGGGCUGGGUGUGGUGGCUCACGCCUGUAGUCCCAGCGCUUCGGGAGGUCCAGGCAGGAGGAUCACUUGAGGCCAGGGGAGUUCAAAACUAGCCCCAGCAACACAGUAAGACCCUGUCUCUGCAGAAAAAAAUUAAAAAUUAGCUAGGCGUGAUGGUGUAUACAUGUAAUCUUAGCGACUUAGAAGGCUGAGGUGAGAGGCUGUCUUGAGCCCAGGAGUUUAAGGUUGCAGUGGGCCAUGAUUGUGCCACUGCACUCCAGCCUGGGCAACAGAGACUCUGUCUCAAAACAAAAAAAGUGCAAAAUGGCAGAGUGACCCUAUGGCUGUCUUUCCUUAUUCCCAGAUUAAGAUAAUUCACUGUGGGUGGCACCUGGCGUUUUGCUCACAUCUCAGCCAUACGUCCCAGUGUCAGGAGGUGCAGGCCUGGCCUUCCUUUUCUGGAGCCGCAAUUUAGGACUUGUCCAGUCUGGGCCUCAUUCUCACCCUAUCAGUCACACACAGACCCGGAGAGGCAACUCUGACCUAGACAACAGCGAAGUUAAUAAAAGAUAUGAGAAUAAGCCCUUUGUGACUACUAUGAUGGGAAGGAAGCAAUGCUUGCUCUUUUCAGCCCAACAUACACUAAGAACCAGACCAAGCAUGAGUCUGUUAGCCAGGAAUGGCCUACUGCCAUUGUCACCACUGCUGGGCCAUGUGGCCUGGCAGAGGGGAGCAAGCUGACUUCAGGUGAGGUCUGGUGAGAAUUCCCAGGUCGCAGCACGCAGGAGACUCCAGGGCCAGCAACCCACUGGGGGCUCCAGUUGCAUUUGCCUCUUGCCAAAGAAUUGAUAUGAGCCAUAGCAGGUCAUGGGCAUGGAGGACACUGGAUGGGUGACUUUGGCUGAGCCUCAGAGGGUGACCCACCCUCAUCCUCAAAGAAGAAAAGCUGAUUGGCAAAAACAAAAACAAACAGAAACCAACAGUGGAGAGCACAUCUUUUCCAACAGACAGAGCCAAUCCGAGGGAACACAGAACCUUGAAGCUCAGCAACAGAGUCUUAGGGAGCUGGUAGGGAAGGCAGUCGGGAGACAGCCCUUUGCUGGCAAUAGUGGGAAGACACAUGGGCACUGUGGAGGAGGCAGAAGUGCUGGCAGAGAAAGAGCGACAGGGCUUCAAGGAGCUUCAGUAAUUUAGUGAACAGGUGGACAUCAGGCAGGAAGCAAGCACAGAAAGUCCAAAAUGUCCUUGAAUUCAGGAAAGUCCCCAGGCCAGUCUGAUUUCACUAAACCAACGCUUCCAUCGCCCCCAUCAGUGAAUUAUUUAAGAAGCUAUUUCCAAAGUGUGGCAGCAUGGACAUUAUGUUGAGUGGAAGAAGCCAGAUAAAGGAGUAGGUUUUCUAUAAUUCCACUUAUGUAAAAUUCAAGAAGAGACAAAACCAGUUUAUGCUGGUAGAAAUCUGAACAGUUAUUUUCCCAGUUUAUGCUGGUGGAAAUCUGAACAGUUAUUUUCUAGCUAGGGAGGGGAGCUGUUGCAGGGGAUUGGCUGGAACAGGAAAUAGAGUGUUCUGAGGUGAUGGAAAAGUUUUCUAUCUUGAUUGGGUGGUAGUUGCUUGGGUACAAAACUCAAUGAACAGUACAGUUGAAAUCUAUGCAUUUUAUUGAUUUAAAUCGUACUCUGAUAAAAUUAACUGAUAUACACACACACGCGCACUUACUUCCAAGUACCUGCUAUGUGUAAUUCAUUGUGAUAAGUGUCUAUAUGUUACAAGCAAACCAAAACAGAACCUGCCCUAAGAAAGUUUACAAAGAAUAAUAGUAGAGACCAGAUAAAAGACAUGGUCCACAAGUCAUAGUUUAAGACAGAUAGUGAUAGAGUCCCCAAGAGACAUAGCUAUAAAGUGAUAUCAGUAGCCAGAGGAAGGAAGAAGGCCUCUGGCUGGAGGGACUCAUUUGGCUUCAUAGAGGAGGCAGCACUUGAGCUGGGCCUUGAAAGAGGUGGGCAAGAACAUUCCAGGUAGAAGAAAGAGCAAAAUAAAGGCAGAGUGGCAGUAUGUCUGGGAAGCAGCAAUAGUUCAACCUGCUUGAGAUGCAGAUCAUGAGAAGAGAGCAAUGACAGAAAAGGUUACAAAGCAAGUAGGAUCAGUUUGUACAGGACCUUGAAUGUCAGGCAAAAGAGUGAAUUUAGCUUGGCCAACAUGGCGAAACCCUGUCUUUACUAAAAUAUACAAAAAUUAGCCGGGUGUGGUGGCACACACCUGUAAUCCCAGCUACUCCAGAGGCUGAGGCAUGAGAAUCGCUUGAACCGGGGAGGCAGAGGCUGCAGUGAGCCCAGUUCGUGCCACUGCACUCCAGCCUGGGCAAGAGAGCGAUACCUCGUCUGAAAAAAAAAAAAAAAAAAGAGAGAGAAAGUGGAUUUGAGCAGAGGUGUGAUAUUGCUAUAAUGUACAGGUUAGACCCGGGUGGAGAGAGUCUAGAGGGUGGGCCUACUUUUCACAGUCAUGUAGUUCCUUGCCUUCCAAAGAGUGAUCCAUAGACCAGGACCAUUGGCAUCACCUGGGAGCUUGCUAGAAAGGCAGAGUAUCUACCAAUAAGACCUAGUGCAUCAGAAUCUGCAUUUUAACAAGAUGCAUGGAUAAUUCUUAGGCAAAUCUAAGUUUUAAAAGCACUGAUCUAGAUGUUAAAAGCACUGGUAUGGAAGUGAGAUAAUGGAUUUGUCUUCCAUACCAGCAGGGGGAUCUGAAUCAGUCCUUUGCUACCCCAAACGCUGAGCCCAACAGGGAAUAUAGGUAGAUAAUUGAUCUUCAUGUUGCUGUUUGACGUAGCAGGAAGAACAGUUCACUCCUGGAGGCCCGCUGAAGAGCAUGUGAAAUCUCAGGGUGAGGAAGGGGUAAACAGUCUAAAGCAGAGAUGCUGUCACUCCUCCAUUUCAUGUUGGCAUCUCAUCAUGAAGACCUCUGUGGAUUGGUGAUGCUCAUCAUCAUUAGUGAUGAUGUGGAUCAAUGCUCUUGGGCUGUGGUGAGUGGAAGCCAAGAUUAUUUCAUCUGAAUAAUUUAUCAUCCCCUAGCAUUAGAGAUUGAAGAUGUGGCCAGGUACUAUUGAGUUCUUUCAAAGGUUAUAGACCCUUCUGAUAGUUUCUUGGCUGCCAUUUUUAGUUAGGUCUCCAUAUGCUUUGCCAGACUUGGUCAAGAUAAUUCCACUUAAGGAAAAAAAAAAAAAAGCUACUUUUGUCCGAACCGUCUGUGAAUUCUCCUGUUUUGAGUCUCCACUUAGCCAGCACCUUGACUUGUCAAUGAUGAAGAAGCAAGAGGCAAGGAAACCAUGGGCCCAUCCCACUCAAAGGCUGACUCCCUUCUAGCUGCUUUCCAGUGAUUCUGCUUCGUUGAUGAUCUUACAUCACGUUCCAGAGAGUGAUGGAAGAUUGACAGAAAGGAUGUAAGCAUGAGCCAUUCCGAAUAUACUAAGAACUUAGUGAAGACAUAGGGAUCUAUAACUUCUAUCCUAUUCAGACUCACAGGGAAUGUUCUGGAGAUAGGUCAUGGUUCUCCUUUAACUACAAAUCUGGCAUCAGGUCUCAGGGAAUGCCUGACAGCUUCAAAAUAAGUCAUGAAUCUAAAUAGCAACAACCAAACAUGCUGAGUUCGGACUCCCAGGCUAUUCUUGUGACGAGUAUUAGCAGGAGUGCUUUAAUUGCUAGCACCUGGGAAAAACAGGCACUCAAGUUCUGUUGUGAAAAGACCAAGCUGACAGUCAAGAGACCUCACCUGGGCAUGAAGAUCAGCUCUCCUUCUCUUGUUCUUCCUCGUACCAGCGGAAUGACGUUGUGAGUUAUUUCAUCUAUUUGAGUCUUAGUUCCUCAUUUGCACAACGUGAACAAAAACAACACUGCACCACUGGGAUUUUGUGAGAAUCACUGAGUGUUCUGAAGCGGUUCAGCCACAUUAACACCAGAACCUACUGAUGAAUUCCAGUUCUGUAAAAGAAUCUAAGUAGCCCAAAAGGCCCUCAAUUAAAUACAUAAGGAAUCCCAUUCCUUUUGAACAAAGAAGCAAAUAGGCUUUAAUCUCAUUGAAAGAGUAGUUUGGGAGCAUCGUUUUUAAAGAAACCAGAAAUAGAAAAUUAUUUUGAGUGUGUCUUUAGGCGAGGCAUUCUUUUUCCAUUACCCGGCCUACCAUAUAGAACUGUCUUCAGAACACUUAAGAAAACCAAAUCUAGAGACGGCACAGGCAGACCUGUCUUCUCUGGAACACUCAAAACCUGGACCAUGCCUGCUCUGGCCCCUGGCCUCUCAUAAAGCAACUCUCUCCCACAGAUUAAGAAUCUUUCAAGAAGAGAUUUUUGUGGUUCUCAUUUGUUCUAUUGCUGUCAGGUUAGAAUCUUUGCUCUUUCUCCUGCAAAGAGGGAGAAAAGUGAUUACAAGACUCUUUUACUAUCCUGUAUUUGGGAAGCUGCUAGCCUGAACAACCUCUAAAGAUCUUCCAAAAGCAAGAUUCUGAGACUGUUCACAACUCUUACAGACUUCUUGGCAUACAUUAGAAUGUGCAAAGAAUACCUCUAGUGUCAGCAAAAAACAAACAGACAAAAAACCCAAACAAAAACAACAACAAAAAACCUUUCCAGGAAUAAGCCAUUCAAAAGAAGUUGCAUUCUUUUGGAGAAUCUCAGAAGUAGUUUGAGAGAAAUAAGAUUGAUCUAGAAAGAUGAUUUUCCCACUCACGUAGUCACAUUCCUGCUUGAGAAUUUAUAAUGAUCUGUCUGGUUUCCUAUUUCUGUAUGUAUUUAUUCAUUCACCAGUAAACAUUUGUGGAAUGCCUAUAGGUAUAUAACCUAUAUAACCCUGUAGGUUUAUAGCAGGAACAUGAGAGGGAUAUGGUCCCUGCCGCAUAGUGUAUACUGCAGAACCUCAGUUCUGGUAGCCCUCUCCUAGACCGUGGAGUUCAUUCUUUGCCCAAUCAGAAGGAAUUUAAAAUAUAGUCCCAUAAGAUUAUAAUGGAGCUGAAAAAUUUCUAUAGCCUAGUGACAUUGUAGCUGUUGUAAAGUCAUAUCACACUUACUGUAUUUUAAACAUAAGUUUAGCAUAGCUGGAGUGUACAGAGUUUGUAAAGUCUAUUGUCGUAUACAGUAACAUCCUAGGCCUUCACAUUCACUCACCACUCACUCACCCAGAGCAACCUCCAGUCCUGCAAACUUCAUUCAUGGCAAAUGCUUUAUACAAGAGUAUCUUUUUUUUUUUAAACUUUAUAUCAAAUCUUACUGUACCUUUCCCAUGUUUAGAAAUGUUUAGAUUCAUAAAAUAUUUACCAUUGUGUUUCAAUUGCCUACAAUAAUCAGUACGGUAACUUGCUAUACAGGUUUGUGUCCUAGGAGCAUUAGACUAUAGCAUAAAAUCUAACUGUGUAGUAGGCUACACCAUCUAGGUAUGUGUAAAUGAACUCCAUGGGUUCACAUGAUGAUGAAAUUGCAUAAGGAUGCAGUCUUGGAAUGUAUCCCUAUUGUUAAGCAACACAUGACUGGACUCUAAUAUUCCAGUGACUCAUCAAAUCAGCCCUGCUCUAAUCUUAAAAGCUGUUGGUUCAAGUAAGUAGCUCCAGCCUUCCCUUUGAAGUGUAGCAAAGGAGGAACAGCAUGAUGGAUAAGCUGCCUGGGAUCUGAUAGGCCAGGGCUCAACCUUGGCUUACCCACUUUCUGGCUGUGGGGUGGGGCUUAGGAUGAAUUACAUAAGUUCUCUAACCUUUAGUGUCUUAUCUGUAAAAUGGGUAUGUUAGAAGGCUUAAGCAAGCUGAGUUUCGAGAAGUGCCCUGUUCAGGGCCCCGUACAGUGAGUAUCCAAUAAAUAAAUGAUGGCCAUUAUUACUAUUAUUCCCCUGUUUAACUGGUCUUGUCCUAUAACCUUGUACUUGAGUCCCCGUUCUAGUACUUUGGCCUGUCUAAGACUAGCAUCUUGCCCUAUUCAUUUAACACAAUUUUUCUCAUCACUUUAUAUUAUGAAAUUUUCAGGCACAAAGAAAAGUUGAAGGAAUUUUAAAGUGAACAUCUAUAUACCAACCACCUAGACUUUACUAUUUUUUACUGUCUUUGUUUUAUCACAUAUGUAUCUAUUUUUCCAUCCCUCUAUUCAUCCAUCAAUCCAUUUAACUUUUUUCUUUUGAGGUAAAUUUUACAAUCAAUGCAAUGCUCAAAUAUUUAAGGUUAUCAUUUGUUGAAUUUUGGUAGUUGCCUAAAUCUGUAUAACCCAAACCCCUGUCAAGGCAUAGAAUGGUACUGUAAUCCCAGAAAGUCCCUUAUGCCAGCUAAUUCCCACCAUUCCUUCCUCCCCAGAGGCACCAUCAAUCUGAUUUUUUUGGUAUCAUCAUUGUUUUGAUGGAUAGCUCUCUUUUUUUUGUACAUUCAUUUUGCUUAUUCUAGAUUUCAAAUAAAUGUAAUUAUAAUGUA